rnacentral:lncRNA from 1 species
AUUGAAAGUGGUGAUCAAACUUGGGCCAUUAAUAAAAAAACAUGAUCAUCAAGUCUGGAUUUUAUGUAUAGUCGACAUAAAGUCUGAAAGAUUAAAUUUGUAAUCUGCAUAAUCAUUAAGCCAAACUGAUGAUUAGGGGAGAUUAGAGCUGUGCAUUCUGCAUAUAAUUAAUGCAGGUGCGGCACUGACGGUCACUAAAGCAACUCUAGUAGCAACAAAAACAGACACAAGAGGUGCAUUCUACAUUUUUUAUCUUUUGUACAUCUGCUGCAAAUUUUGCAAC